GGCCUGAUGGUCUAGUAGUAUGAUUCCUUGUUAGGGUAUAACACACCAUAUUCGAGGAGGUCCUGGGUUCAAUUCCCAGUUAGGCCC